ACCGAAAAAAAGAACGAAACAAGCCGAUGAAACCAACAAAACCCGAAAAGAGAAGCACAUCUUUCUUUUUGGAGUUUGUUUUUGUUGUUGCUUCGUUCUUUUUCCCCUUCUCUCUUUCCUGGAUUUGAGAUUUUCGUUUGAAAAAAAAAAAAAAAAUGGAUUUUGGAUUGAUGCUGAUUGAUCAUUCAAACUACUACCAGUACUUCGCAUUCAUCACUUUACAUUCUUAUGCUUCGACAACGCGCGAUCAUAAUACAAUACAAUAGUACAAUAGUUGGUUCA
rnacentral:ribozyme from 1 species